UACAGAGGGGGCAAGCGUUGUUCGGAAUUACUGGGCGUAAAGGGCGCGUAGGCGGCCGCCUAAGUCAGACGUGAAAUCCCUCAGCUUAACUGGGGAACUGCGUCUGAUACUGGAUGGCUUGAGUUUGGGAGAGGGAUGCGGAAUUCCAGGUGUAGCGGUGAAAUGCGUAGAUAUCUGGAGGAACACCGGUGGCGAAGGCGGCAUCCUGGACCAACACUGACACUGAGGAGCGAAAGCCAGGGGAGCAAACGGG
rnacentral:rRNA from 1 species